UAGAGCCUCUUACGAAGACGGUUUAUGAUGAUAUAAAGCAAAAUUGGCUUUUUGUUAGUGUGAUUAUAAUGCAUCAUGUUUCUUGUUUGUUUUUGCUUUAUGUAUUUUAGCUAUACAGCGAACGAAGUAGAUAACUUCCAGGAACAGAGGGUACAAGUUGUGGAGUUAAAAAGGCAGGAACUUUUUUUUUUUUUUGGAACUUGUAUUGUUAGAAAUCGAGAUUGCAUUCAACGAGGCCGUGACUGAAGGGAUACAAGAAAUCCUUAAUCAAAUUGGAGAGGGUAAUGAAAUAUUCAAAGAUCUUGCGGUUCUUGUUAACGAUCAAGGAGCCAUGAUAGUCUAGAUGAUAUCGGUACUCACCUUGACAACUCUCGAGCUGCAACUGCUCAAGGAAGAUCUCAGCUCGCACAAGCCUCAAAAACACAAAGAUCAAACUCAUCUCUCGUAAAAAAAAACACUUCAAAUAUUUUUGGUUUUGGGGGAUGGGUAUAGGCCACGCUCUGAUGUUUUGAUCUUGUUUAAGACAUGCUUACUCUUGCUGAUAUUUGGCAUUGUGCCUCUUAUCGUGAUUAUCGUUCUCGCAGCUUGAUGUUGGAAAGCAAUAACAAGUUUCGAAUGUUUCCAUCGAUCGUAAAAGCAUCAGUGAGUGGAAACUACUUGGUACAUAACGUUAUUUGCGGACAAACUUAGAAGUUGGGCGGCUUUGUAUUGGUCUGGUUUAAGGGUCUACUUGUUAAUGUAAUCGAGUGUGGUUUUUUGCUGUGCAAAUAAAUUCGUUGGAGAUGAGCUAGUGUCUUGCUAGUGCUUCUCCCAAAUUUCGGGUUUGUUAAACAGAAAUUAUCAUGCAACACACUGAAUGACUGAUCUUGAAC